UGGGGAAUAUUGCACAAUGGGCGCAAGCCUGAUGCAGCCAUGCCGCGUGUAUGAAGAAGGCCUUCGGGUUGUAAAGUACUUUCAGCGGGGAGGAAGGGAGUAAAGUUAAUACCUUUGCUCAUUGACGUUACCCGCAGAAGAAGCACCGGCUAACUCCGUGCCAGCAGCCGCGGUAAUACGGAGGGUGCAAGCGUUAAUCGGAAUUACUGGGCGUAAAGCGCACGCAGGCGGUUUCUUAAGUCUGAUGUGAAAGCCCCCGGCUCAACCGGGGAGGGUCAUUGGAAACUGGGGGACUUGAGUGCAGAAGAGGAGAGUGGAAUUCCAUGUGUAGCGGUGAAAUGCGUAGAUAUAUGGAGGAACACCAGUGGCGAAGGCGGCUCUCUGGUCUGUAACUGACGCUGAGGCUCGAAAGCGUGGGGAGCAAACAGG
rnacentral:rRNA from 1 species